UCGUCAGUGAGGUACAUCCUUACCUGUUACUUCAGUAAUGAAGUUUCAGAAAAUGAUGAAUGGACAUUAUGAUUUAUGAUUAUACUGUCUUUGGGUAUAGGAGAACUGCAACACUUUUAUACCCCCAUUCUGAU